CGCGUAGGCGGCUUUAUAAGUCUGGAGUGAAAGUCCUCUUUUCAAGGGAGGAAUUGCUUUGGAAACUAUAGAGCUUGAGUGCAGGAGAGGUUAUCGGAAUUCCCGGUGUAGCGGUGAAAUGCGUAGAUAUCGGGAGGAACAUCGGUGGCGAAGGCGGGUAACUGGACUGCAACUGACGCUGAGGCUCGAAAGCGUGGGGAGCAAACA
rnacentral:rRNA from 1 species